rnacentral:pre_miRNA from 1 species
AGUACAAUUGCUGGGUCAGAUGGUAGUUGCAUGUAUUUUUUUAAAGAAACUGUCAAGCUCUUCUCCAGAAUGGCUGUACCAUUUUUACAUUCCCACCAGCAAU